rnacentral:lncRNA from 1 species
UGUGUGUCUGUCCCAAAUCAGGAACGCCAAUCGAGUGAAUAGUGUAUGUUUUUUUCUUUCUAUUUUGGUUAAUUUGUAUGCUUCAGAGUGAAGCGUUGGGUUUAGUUUACUCAAGUAGUAAAUAGUUUUGUUUGGUCGCCAGCUAAAGCCAACUUCUGGGUGCGAGAUAGUUUGGUAUUGCGCGUUGAAGACCAAUUGGUGGCCAUAUGCAGUUUUCUGCUCUUUGACACA